CCCUUAGAUGUUCUGGGCCGCACGCGCGCUACACUGAUCGAUUCAACGAGUUUUGAAAUAAUUUUUAUAAUUUUUCAUAUCCUUUGUCGGAAGGCAUGGGUAAUCUUUUAAAUGUCGAUCGUGAUGGGGCUAGAUUCUUGCAAUUAUUAGUCUCCAACGAGGAAUUCCUAGUAAACGCAAGUCAUCAGCUUGCAUUGAUUACGUCCCUGCCCUUUGUACACACCGCCCGUCGCACCUACCGAUUGAAUGAUCCGAUGAAUAUCAUGGAUUGAGGAUGCAAGUAGGUUAGCCUAUCUUCAUCUUCGAGAAGUGAAGUAAAUCUUAUCAUUUAGAGGAAGGAGAAGUCGUAACA
rnacentral:rRNA from 1 species